GAUGAACGCUGGCGGCGUGCCUAAUACAUGCAAGUCGAGCGAACGGACGAGAAGCUUGCUUCUCUGACGUUAGCGGCGGACGGGUGAGUAACACGUGGAUAACCUACCCAUAAGACUGGGAUAACUUCGGGAAACCGGAGCUAAUACCGGAUAAUAUUUUGAACCGCAUGGUUCAAAAGUGAAAGACGGUCUUGCUGUCACUUAUAGAUGGAUCCGCGCUGCAUUAGCUAGUUGGUAAGGUAACGGCUUACCAAGGCAACGAUGCAUAGCCGACCUGAGAGGGUGAUCGGCCACACUGGAACUGAGACACGGUCCAGACUCCUACGGGAGGCAGCAGUAGGGAAUCUUCCGCAAUGGGCGAAAGCCUGACGGAGCAACGCCGCGUGAGUGAUGAAGGUCUUCGGAUCGUAAAACUCUGUUAUUAGGGAAGAACAUAUGUGUAAGUAACUGUGCACAUCUUGACGGUACCUAAUCAGAAAGCCACGGCUAACUACGUG
rnacentral:rRNA from 1 species